rnacentral:rRNA from 1 species
UACGUAGGGGGCUAGCGUUGUCCGGAAUCAUUGGGCGUAAAGCGCGCGUAGGCGGCCCGAUAAGUCCGCUGUGAAAGUCAAAGGCUCAACCUUUGAAUGUCAGCGGAUACUGCCGGGCUAGAGUCCGGAAGAGGCGAGUGGAACUCCUGGUGUAGCGGUGGAAUGCGCAGAUAUCAGGAAGAACACCAACGGCGAAGGCAGCUCGCUGGGACGGAACUGACGCUGAGGCGCGAAAGCGUGGGGAGCGAACAGG